rnacentral:lncRNA from 1 species
UGUAGAUAUUAAACUGAUUUUCCUUUCUUUCUGUGUAGAUAUUAAGCAAGCAUUAUACUUACUUUUAGGCAAAAGGCAAAUUAAGUGAUUUAAUUAGGAUGAAUUUAGAACAAUUUUUUGAGAGAACUGGUCAGUAUGCAAUUUUGUUUGGGUUUCAGUGGGAUAUAGCCAUAUUUGCAGGUUAGGCAUUGUCUGUAUUAGCAUCAACUCAAUAGUGCUUAUUUUUGUAUUCUAUAGCACAGUGUUCCUUAUUCCUUUUUUCAUUAUCAUACCCCUAAAGAGAAAAUUUUAAUUUCAUUUAAAAUUUUUUUUCUAGCAAUCAGUUAAAUGCUAAGAAAUAAUUGAUUUUAUCAGAAAGAGUUAAACUUUAGGAGACCAAAAACCAUUACCUGAGAUCUUUUGAUACUUCUUUACAGCAAGAACAAAUGUUUACCCCCUUGGUGACAAUAUUGUUUCCUUUAGAAUAUGUUUUGCAAGUUCAAGACCAGCCUCAGCACCAGCCUCAGCAAUUUAGUGAGACCUUGUCUCAAAAUUUAAGAAAAUAAGAUAAAAAGGGCUGUGGGUAAAACAUCCCUGGGUUCAAUCCUCAUUACCCACCCCAUACCUCCCCCCCCCAAAUAAAAGGUUAAAAUGGCAAAUUUUGUGUUAUGUAUCUUUUACAGUUAAAAAAUUAAUAAUGUAAUGUACCAAAACUUAUUGGAUGCUUCACUUCAGGUGAAUGAAUUUUGUUUUCAUUACAUUAUCAAGAAUGCUAUUUUUAAAAAACAAAAGAAUGAAUUUGGAGUAGUAGUAAUAGUGUUUCUGUAUCUGAAGCAACUAUUUGCUAAAUUACAUUUCUGAAAUGGAUAAUGCCUCAGGGUGCUUUGGCAGGAGUAACCUGAAAUCAAAAACUAGAUAUGAGGCUAUGGAGAAAGGGGCAUUUGAUUAAUAAGUUGUAUUUUCUGAAUUAUACCUCUAAUCAUUUUAUACUUUAAAAAAAAUUGGAAAGAACCCUGAAUUGAAAGGCCAAAGGUCUGUGGUCUUACUUGGGUUAAUUUUAAUCUUGCAUAGUUCACAUCACAUCUUAAGUGUUUUCUAGUCUAUCAAAGGGUGUGAAUGAGAUCAUUGCUUCUGCU